GAAAAACUCUGCACGAUCCCAUGUCUACCGUACGCCAUGCAGUCUGAGCUCUCUAUUUUUCCUUUGUAACUGUGGAGUUCUAACCCUUAACAGUCCCAAGAUCUCACGAGGAAGGAGAAUGAUGUAAAACGAUGGCCAUUGUAAAAACGUUAUAUUCUACUAUACCACAGAAGGUUUUUUUUCUUUUUUUUUUUUUUUUUUCUGUAUCGAGUUAUUUAUUAGUGCUACGGAAAGAUAGCAGACUGUUAUGAAUGAAUCUUGCAACAUGAGCUUUGUAAAGGCGUCGGCCAAACCAAUUAAUAAAAGCAACAUAGAGAUGCGAGCAUACUAAGCAACAAAA